rnacentral:rRNA from 1 species
CAGUCGCCACGGUAAUACGUAGGUGGCAAGCGUUGUCCGGAAUUAUUGGGCGUAAAGGGCUCGCAGGCGGUUUCUUAAGUCUGAUGUGAAAGCCCCCGGCUCAACCGGGGAGGGUCAUUGGAAACUGGGAAACUUGAGUGCAGAAGAGGAGAGUGGAAUUCCACGUGUAGCGGUGAAAUGCGUGGAGAUGUGGAGGAACACCAGUGGCGAAGGCGACUCUCUGGUCUGUAACUGACGCCGAGGAGCGAAAGCGUGGGGAGCGAACAGGAUUAGAUACCCGUGUAGUCCCUGUCUCUUAUAC